AAACAAAGAAGUAAAAAUUUUACAUUUAGUUUCGACCUAAAUUUAGAGAAAUCCUCCAUGUUUA
rnacentral:tRNA from 1 species